rnacentral:pre_miRNA from 1 species
CAAGUACUCCCUCCGUUCGGAAUUACUCGUCCAAGAAAUGAAUGUAUCUAGAUUAUUUUAGUUGUAGAUACAUCCAUUUUUAUGACAAGUAAUUCCGAACGGAGGGAGUAGUAU